rnacentral:lncRNA from 1 species
UCACAAGCUCACAAAAGCCUAAGCACUUAGAAUCGUCAAGGAGUGGGCCGCUUGGCACAACAACUAUCAAGAGCUGGCAGCCUUGUCAGGAAGGAUCUUGGGCAAUCAAGGUUGCAGGGCCAACAAACUGGUCACUACGCAGACUAGGCAAACUAGCAUGCCAACAAGCCAAAACGGGCAACCAAUGGCCAAGAAACGGGCAGCCCAAAGACUCCCCAGAUACAGGUCUCUUUCUUUCUCUCUAGACUCUCACUCUCUGUACGUGCUCUUGUCUAUUGCUGCCUUCUCCAUUAUACUACACUUAUUGAUUUAAGCAUCAGAUAGUGUCCCAGAGCAUAAGCUCUGACGACUCCUAGCUCACAUUAUACUUCAAAAACUCCUAGUGUCCAAGCUCAGCUAACCCUCUUCAAAGGAUAUUCUUAAGCCAAAUCCAUCACAAAAAGGACAUCAACAACACUAAUAGCCUAUAUGUCAUUUUUUACCCUAAUGACUUUCAUUGAUAAAUCUAAUACAUUAAUUUAGCGAAGGUCAGGAUUUUUCACAGGAUUCACUUAGUUUAACUGUACAAGAGCAAAAAAGAAUACAGGGAUGGGGCAUACCAAAACAAUCAUAAGGAAAUUACAAUCACAAAAAACCUGUCUAGGCCUCAACAACAUCAAAUCAGAAAAAGGCCCCAUUAAUCUUCUGGCCUAACCACUAACCACUGUUUUCUAGUGUCGGUGGACUCCAAGUAUGUUUCUUUGUUCUUUAAUAAGUAUCCUUUUCCAUUUAGAUGUUGCCAGAUCACAAGCCUAGAUAGGCUUUUGUUUAACAAAAGAAAGAGUUUGUUGUAUUAGUAUAUUUCAUUAAAUCGGCUUCAAAUGGGAGUAGAGCUUGCAAUGAAUACAAACCAGAACACCUGACACCUACCAAAUAUCCUUUGUACCACCUUAAUACUAAUCUGUUCUGAAUCAAUAAUACCACUUACUGCAUAUGUGAACAGUCGAUUAUUAAUGCACAAUAAUAGCAUUACUGUCAUUUGUAUCACCGUCCUAUUUCAGCUAAACAGCAUCGUCGUAGAACACCACUUUGAACUACCAUUCUAACAAGUACAAAAUGUAUCAAUCUGUUGAUUAUCAGUUAACUCUACAAACAUAGUCAUUUCCUGUUCUAAGUACCACCGCAUCUGUUGAUUAUCAGCUAAACAACCGAACCUUGUCGUUACCCACAUAAGAUAAGCAACUGCCAGUCACGGAAAGCUUUUUUGCAGUCACAGUUUUAACAACCAUUCCUUCUGUCCUUCUCUCUUAUCAAAGAACAAGAAGGGAACAAAAUGCUUUAAGUUUGAAUCAAAGGAAAUGCAUUUAACAUCAGUUUCAUUAAGACCCUUUCAAGAAACCAACAAAAAAUAACAAUUUAUUCAGGUUUUGCAAGUAGAAAUUUGAAAAAAAAAAUUAAAAAGAAAAAGAAGAAAAAACUUGCCAGCAUCAAUAACAGCAUCCCAGUCAGUGGUGCCAUUUUUCUGAAACUGUUUCAAGUCCCAAGUUCCUCCGAUCCACCUAGGAUCCUCAAACUUGCUCAAAACCUCAAUUUCUGUGCUGGUAGCCGCCCCGUUAGGCCCAGAAGAUCCCUCCACGGCCUUUUCAAGGACGGGGUCAUUCUGACUGGGUUUUGGGUCUUCAAUGGCAGGAACAGAAGCUGAAACUCCAGCUCCAUUGUCUGGUAAAGACUUGGGAGUGGAAAGCGAAAGAAAGGGUCUCUUAAGAGGGAGAAAAAGAGCGGGUUUGUGGGUGAAAUUGGGGUUGACGGAGAAGGAGGUAGGACAAGGAGGAGAAAACAA